GCAGUCAUGGCUCAGUGGUAGAGCACCUGCUUCACAAGCAGGAGGCCCUGGGUUCAAGUCCUAAUAGUACCA
rfam:Dipodomys ordii contig_18093, whole genome shotgun sequence.